rnacentral:rRNA from 1 species
UGCUUGCACCUUUCAAGCGAGUGGCGAACGGGUGAGUAACACGUGGAUAACCUGCCUCAAGGCUGGGGAUAACAUUUGGAAACAGAUGCUAAUACCGAAUAAAACUUAGUAUCGCAUGAUACAAAGUUGAAAGGCGCUACGGCGUCACCUAGAGAUGGGUCCGCGGUGCAUUAGUUAGUUGGUGGGGUAAAGGCCUACCAAGACAAUGAUGCAUAGCCGAGUUGAGAGACUGAUCGGCCACAUUGGGACUGAGACACGGCCCAAACUCCUACGGGAGGCUGCAGUAGGGAAUCUUCCACAAUGGGCGAAAGCCUGAUGGAGCAACGCCGCGUGUGUGAUGAAGGCUUUAGGGUCGUAAAGCACUGUUGUAUGGGAAGAAAUGCUAGAAUAGGGAAUGAUUCUAGUUCGACGGUACCAUACCAGAAAGGGACGGCUAAAUACGUGCCAGCAGCCGCGGUAAUACGUAUGUCCCGAGCGUUAUCCGGAUUUAUUGGGCGUAAAGCGAGCGCAGACGGUUGAUUAAGUCUGAUGUGAAAGCCCGGAGCUCAACUCCGGAAUGGCAUUGGAAACUGGUUAACUUGAGUGUUGUAGAGGUAAGUGGAACUCCAUGGGUAGCG